UACGAGAGGCCCAAACGUUAUUCGGAAUUACUGGGCUUAAAGAGUUCGUAGGCGGCAUUGCAAGUAGGGUGUGAAAGCCCUCGGCUCAACCGAGGAAUUGCGCUCUAAACGGCAGUGCUUGAGGAACCUAGAGGUGAGCAGAACAGAUGGUGGAGCGGUGAAAUGCGUUGAUAUCAUCUGGAAUACCGGAGGCGAAGGCGGCUCACUGGGAGUUUUCUGACGCUGAGGAACGAAAGCCAGGGUAGCGAACGGG
rnacentral:rRNA from 1 species